GACGAACGCUGGCGGCGUGCUUAACACAUGCAAGUCGAGCGGUAAGGCCCUUUCGGGGGUACACGAGCGGCGAACGGGUGAGUAACACGUGGGUGACCUGCCCUCAGCUCUGGGAUAAGCCUGGGAAACCGGGUCUAAUACUGGAUAUGACUCCAUGACGCAUGUUGUGGGGUGGAAAGCCUUGUGCGGCUGAGGAUGGGCCCGCGGCCUAUCAGCUUGUUGGUGGGGUGAGGCCUACCAAGGCGACGACGGGUAGCCGGCCUGAGAGGGCGACCGGCCACACUGGGACUGAGACACGGCCCAGACUCCUACGGGAGGCAGCAGUGGGGAAUCUUGCGCAAGUGGGCGAAAGCCUGACGCAGCGACGCCGCGUGAGGGAUGACGGCCUGGUUGUAAC
rnacentral:rRNA from 1 species